AGUGAACGCUGGCGGUAGGCCUAACACAUGCAAGUCGAACGGCAGCACAGUAAGAGCUUGCUCUUACGGGUGGCGAGUGGCGGACGGGUGAGGAAUACAUCGGAAUCUACUUUUUCGUGGGGGAUAACGUAGGGAAACUUACGCUAAUACCGCAUACGACCUACGGGUGAAAGCAGGGGAUCUUCGGACCUUGCGCGAUUGAAUGAGCCGAUGUCGGAUUAGCUAGUUGGCGGGGUAAAGGCCCACCAAGGCGACGAUCCGUAGCUGGUCUGAGAGGAUGAUCAGCCACACUGGAACUGAGACACGGUCCAGACUCCUAAGGGAGGCAGCAGUGGGGAAUAUUGGACAAUGGGCGCAAGCCUGAUCCAGCCAAACCGCGUGGGUGAAGAAGGCCUUCGGGGUGUAAAGCCCUUUUGUUGGGAAAGAAAAGCAGCAGGUUAAUACCCCGCUGUUCUGACGGUACCCAAAGAAUAAGCACCGGCUAACUUCGUG
rnacentral:rRNA from 1 species